CCUACGGGUGGCAGCAGUAGGGAAUAUUCGGCAAUGGGGGGAACCCUGACCGAGCCACGCCGCGUGAACGAUGACGUUCUUCGUUAUUUUAAGCUCCUUUUACAGGGGAGCAAGAGCAGUCUGAUGGUGCGUGAAGAAUAAUCUCCGGCUAACUACCUGCAAGCAGCCGCGGUCAUACGUAGGGAGCGAGCGUUGUCCGGAUUUCUUUGGCGUAAAGGGUGCGUAGAGGGCAUGGUAAGUCUUUGGGAAAAAUGCGGGGCUCAACACCGUAGUGCAAAAGAUACUGGAAAGUUAGAGUAAGACAGAGGUAAGCGGAACGAGAGGUGUAGCGGUGAAAUGCGUAAAUAUAAGGAAGAACGCCAGUGGCGAAGGCGGCAUGCUGGGGCGAAACUGACAUUGAGGCACGAAAGCGUGGGGAGCGAACAGGAUGAGAGACCCCGGUAGUC
rnacentral:rRNA from 1 species